CAGGUGGGCCACACUGUAUAGAAGCUGCGGGUUCCAAAGUGUUCUCUUUUGACUGUGGAGGUGAGUAAUGGAAGCUAGAAAGGAGAGGGAAGGUGGUGCCAGAGAAGCGGAAAACCAGCUCUUCAAGUGGUCGGGAUAAUUAUUGGGCUUAAAGUGUCCGUAGCCGGUUUAGUAAGUUCCUGGUAAAAUCGGAUAGCUUAACUAUCCGCAUGCUAGGAAUACUGCUAUACUAGAGGGCGGGAGAGGUCUGAGGUACUAUAGGGGUAGGGGUGAAAUCUUAUAAUCCUUGUAGGACCACCAGUGGCGAAGGCGUCAGACUGGAACGCGCCUGACGGUGAGGGACGAAAGCCAGGGGAGCGAACCGGAUUAGAUACCCGGGUAGCCUUGGCCGUAAACGAUGCAUACUAGGUGAUGGUACGGCCGUGAGCGGGAUCAGUGCCGUAGGGAAACCGUCAAGUGUGCCGCCUGGGAAGUACGGUCGCAAGGCUAAAACUUAAAGGAAUUGGCGGGGGAGCCCCACAGGGGGUGAAGCCUGCGGUUCAUUUGGACUCAACGCCGGGAAACUUACCAGGGGAGACAGUAGAAUGACGGUCAGGUUGACGACCUUACCUAACGAGCUGAGAGGAGGUGCAUGGCCGUCGCCAGUUCUUGCUGUGAGGUAUCCUGUUAAGUCAGGCAACGAACGAGAUCCCGCGCCUUUUUUUGCCAGCAAAGAAGUUACGACUUUCGUUGGGAAACACUAAAAGGGACCCCCGUCGAUAAAACGGGAGGAAAGAACCGGGCAAAAGGAACGUCAUUUAUGCCCCGAAAACUUUUGGGGCUACACGCGGGGCUGCAAAUGUUAUGAAACAAAUGGGCUUGUAACUCCGAAAGGGAGAAACCAAUCCCCAAAUUCUAUAUCCUCAGUUGGGGAUUGUUCGGGUUGUAAACCUGUCUAACAUGAAACCGUGGAAUUCCCGUAGGUAAUUCGCUGUUGUCAUUCAUUGAGCACCGGUGAAUACCGCUCGUCUGCUCUCUGGCACAGACAACGAAGGGCGGAAUUUCCGAUAUAAACCUGCAGGAGACCUAGUCCGUUAUAGUGACAGCUAAGUCUGCGACGUUGCGCCCG
rnacentral:rRNA from 1 species